ensembl:lncRNA
CAGAAACUUAAGAAGGUUCUGGAUGCAGCUCAGGCUGCAGGUCUGUAGCCCAGAGGUGGCUAUGGCCACAUCUACAGGGCCCGGAGGCAAGGAGUGGUGGAAGGUACAUUUCCCUUCCCUGCCAGCAUUCCAGUGACAACAUCAGGGACUACAAUGGGCACAGAAGGCUGAACCUGACUCCUAGGCAAGCACUGUCUUGCUGCUGAGAACCUGGUACAAAGUACAUCAUGCUUCAUGUACGCUUCACAAGCAUUUUCCUCCCGUGCUUCCUUCCAUGAGCCCUAGGAUAUGCCCUUUUAUCUGUACAGCAAGUAAAGCACCCCAAGAUGGCCUUAUAGGGUCUGGGGCCUUUUCCUUUGGAGAGGGACUCCACACCCUCAACCUGUACAUGGUGUCCCACCAGGCAGUGUAGCAGUGCUGCUGGAGCCUCCAGCCCAGUGAUGGCUGUGGUUAAGGGCAGCCAUAGGUUCCAGCUGGGCAGGGCUAUGGCAGCACACACUGCCAUCCCCACAGCUCCUUCCUGUCACCCCUGAGGAGGGGUCACAGCUGCUGUGAGUCAGCACAGCCUCAUGAGGAGGCGGUUGACACCUUCCUGCCCAUCACCAUGUGCCAGGGCCGGCACCACACACACCCUGCAGGAUCCUCCCGCAGAGGCAGACAUUUUCCGAAGGGCUUUUAUUGCUGAUGACAAUUACUUGGCGAAUCACGAGAAAAUGAGCCAGUCCUUCUGGGAAUCACUUGUAAAAAGCUUAGCUGCUACUGACCCACCUAUCCUGGCUACUGAUGAGAAGAACAAUGUAAGUUGCUAAAGAAACCUUACACACACACAAAAGGAUGCCUGUAUCAUUCUUCAGGCACUUUAGUACUUCUCUGAUAUAUUUUUGAGAGAGGGACCAACAGUCUGAUUCUCUGAAGACUUUAGCUUUUUAAACAUUCUCUGUAUCACAUUAAAUGUUAUAAAAGAACGCUUACAUAAAUGAAAUUUGGGCCCGAUUUCUACAUGAAAAGGAAAAACAAAAACAUUCCAGCAGAGCUGGCUUUGUAUUUGUUGUUCCCCUUGUAUAGUAAGAGCAGUGGAUGAUGUUCCUCAAAGGUGAAGUGAGAUUUGCUUCUAUUUCACGAUCUGUUCACACAUACUGUGUUUUAUUGGAAGGACUAUUCGCUAUUUAUUCAUCUUUCAGCUCCUCAACAGGUGCAGUGUUCUGCCUGGGGCCUGUGCAGCCUGCCUGAAAGCCAUAGAGACAAAAGGCGUCAUGGCAAUGGCAGUCCUUUACCUCUUGUUGAAGAGUUCCAACCCACCUGUGUAUCAGCAGCUGCCCAGUUCCAAGGGAAAGGGUGAGCCCUACCUGGCAUCGCUUCACCUGUUCUGUUAAAUUUACCAUGCUGCCAAUGGGAAUACUCUGAUAAAGCUUGGCAGUGAUUAUUAGUGAGCAAUUAAAAGGUAUGGAAACACUGCUUAGAAAAGUCAUGGGGGAUAGGAGCUAAAGAUAGAUGACACCUCAUAGCAGGGACCCAAUUUCCACUCUCAUACAGUGAGCUGUACCAAC